rnacentral:rRNA from 1 species
AUUGAACGCUGGCGGCAGGCCUAACACAUGCCAGUCGAACGGUAACAGGAAGACGCUUGCUUCUUUGCUGACGAGUGGCGGACGGGUGAGUAAUGUCUGGGAAACUGCCUGAUGGCGGGGGAUAACUACUGGAAACGGUAGCUAAUACCGCAUAACGUCGCAAGACCAAAGAGGGGGACCUUCGGGCCCCUUGCCAUCGGAUGUGCCCAGAUGGGAUUAGCUAGUAGGCGGGGGAAAGGCUCACCUAGGCGACGAUCCCUAGCUGGUCUGAGAGGAUGACCAGCCACACUGGAACUGAGACACGGUCCAGACUCCUACGGGAGGCAGCAGUGGGGAAUAUUGCACAAUGGGCGCAAGCCUGAUGCAGCCAUGCCGCGUGUAUGAAGAAGGCCUUCGGGUUGUAAAGUACUUUCAGCGGGGAGGAAGGGAGUAAAGUUAAUACCUUGGCGCAUUGACGUUACCCGCAGAAGAAGCACCGGCUAACUCCGUG